rnacentral:tRNA from 1 species
GCUAGUGUGGCAUAGUGGUUUGAGUGUUGGACUAUGACUCUGGAGACCAGGGUUUGAGACCCAGUUUGGCC